GGUGCGGGGCCGAUCCUGAGGGCAGAGCUGGGGGGCUCGGGGAUCCUGAGGGAGAGCGCGGGGGGCGCGAGCAGGGUCGGGGCUGCUGGGAGCGCGGCUGCUGGGAGCGCGGCUGGAACGGACCGGGGCGGGCGUGAGGGGAGCAGGGAGCGGCCGUGGGGCGGGAGGAGGCGGCCGGAGCGGCGAGGGGCGGGCAGCCGGGCGGAAGUGUGGGAGUUUUCUUUUUUUCUUUUUUUUUUUUUUUUUUUUUUUUUUCCUCCGAGGGUUUUUCACUACCUACUUUGGUGCGAUCUCGGGCGGGCGGUGCUGAUUGGCUCGGGCUGCUGCGGCAGAGCCCGGCGCUUCCCGCCGGCAGCCGCGGGUCCCGGAUCCCGGCGGCGCAAACAGCGGGCGGGCUUGUCCUGGGAACAAAGGCGGCCCUCGGGAAACCCUGCUGCCGGGGCCGCUGCUGCUCCGUGUGCAUGGCAGUCCUGCUCGCCCUGACCAAAAUACUCAUUCCUUAGUGUUUAUGGCGAGGUUCGGGCUGCUUGUAAUCAGAGUACAAAGGCAUCUGCUGAUGGUACAAAAUGUAUAGAAAGUUAAGGUUUUAUCACCGAAUCCUGGCUGCAGUGAUGCUCCCGGCUUGAGUGGAUGAGCAAAAAGCCCCCAGCGUCAAAAGCUUAUUUGUUGAGUCUGUGCCUUCCUGUCUGAAGGAAACAAAAACAAGACUCGAUGGCGGCGUGUUCAGGGCUGGGGUGUGAGGAAACAAUACCUCAUUACAACUAUCGUGAAACCACUGUUAAAGGUGUGGGCAAUGCUCACACGCCUUACAGUUUUCAUCCAUAUUGCUGUUCUAGUUAAAAGGGUUUAAUUUUUAUCUGAUUUAUCCCCUCUUUUGAGGCUGCCUCAGUUGAUGCUCUUUGUAGAUGUUUUUAGGCCUGCUCACGUGAGGGAGAAGUUGCUGAAGGACCCCCUGCUGAAGAUGGGUGCAUUGAAAAAGCCAUCCUUUUUCAUCAGGCUCUGGUGCUGGGUGACUGACUCCUGCCAGAGGUUCCUUUUUUGCAAAAGCUCUUGCAUCAGAUUUGUAAUUAAAUUAGCAAAAAGGCCUACCAGCACGGCUCACACUUUAACUGGCCUGAGAGGACAGUUCUUCCCUAGGCCCCUUUCUGAUGCGUUUAGUCAAGGAAUGCUUAAAUUUGACGCCAAAUCUUGACUCACUUUGGAAGUAUUAACAACAAAUAAACAGUGACGUGUCUGAUUUUUUUUUCCCCUUUUGAAAGUUCUGAAACAAGUCAGAUAAAGUGCCUUUGCAGCAGGGAGAUCUUCAUUCCUGUCAGCAAGUUUCUCUGGACAACUUCUGGUCCUGCCUCCCUGCUGUGAUUGUGGCUUGCAGAGGAAACCAAGACGCUGGUGGUCAGAGCCGGGUGGCAGUGCCACAGCAGACCUCCACCUCUGGAGCCCCGCUUCCCCCAUCUGCCUGCAUCCACCUGCCGUCUUUUCAUCCACUUCUACCCUGAUGUCGCAGUUGGAGCAGGGAUCACAGAGGCUCCUGUCUGGCUGAACGACCACAGAGCACCCCGACCCUGACUCUCUGUGCUGUCUGAUGCUGCAAAGGAGCAGGCAGUGUCCCCUGGUGCACCGUGGUGACCCAGAGCUUUGGUCGUGGCUGAUGGAUGCUGCUGUAACAACACUAGCUGAGUGUGCCUGAAAUACAGUGCCUUUUUCUCAGGGCUUAUGGAAUAUUGGCUCUGUGGUCUUGGCGUCGCAAGGAUCAGCAAAGAUAAUUUUAGACAGGAACAGAAAGUCUCUGUAAACCUUACAGUCAUAGCUAUUUCACUGGCAGAAAAAAAAAAAAACCCACAAGGAGCCCAUGACUGUGCAUUGCUGAAACAUUCUGCUUAGCAGGUGUGCUGGAGUAAAAAUGUAAAGGGAAAUCUGGGGACAGGAGAAUCUAAGGGUGAUUUCCAGAAACUGCUGUCAUGCUCCAUCCCUUUUCUGAGGAGGUGGUGCAGCAGACAGGAUGCAGGAACCAGAGCCUGGUAUUUUGUCCAAAGCCCUGUCCUAGUCCAUGGCGUGAGUCUGGACAAGCUGCUUUUCCCCUUUACAUUAGUUUCCUGUUUUUUGAAAUGUUAACUUUGUUCCUGCUUUUUCAGUAUUACAAUUUGAGAUUUAGUGCAGAUCAGAGCUAGAUGUUGCUUAUCAAUACUUCCUAUUUUUACAGUAACGAAAAGGCUGUUCCUAAAUUGUUACAGAUGAAUGCCAAAACUCGUAUUCCCUUGAAUUUGCUGUCAACUUCCACAAUUGCUGCAGGUUGCAAUCCUUCUGACUUCUGCAUGGUAAGAACUGCAGGCCAUCAGCAACCACACUAAAAUUUGACCCUGUUUGCUGCUGUAAAACUGGGUGAAUUUUAUCAGCCUCAUCAGAAUUGGUCUGGAUUGAGUGGGAUGGGGAAGUUAGCUCAGUGCUUCAUUACCCCUGGGGCAUUUUCUCCACUAGAAAGACAGAGGAGGAAAUAACACAAGAAGGCAGCUCAGCAGUGGAACAGCUUCAUGUUAAUUUAAGUCCCUUGGAGGCACUAGAUAUGCCAGGAGUGUCCAGAUUGUGGGUCUGCUGAUCUUCAGGCACAGAGCAGCUGUGGCACCCAGCUCACAACCAGAUGUCAAGCUGCUGGAAGAAAGACAUUGCAUAAAAAACUCCAUUUUCUAAUUAAAAAAAAAAAAAAUCUAACUCUCAUGGUUGCUUAGAAAAACAUGAAAACAUGAGCUGAAUGUUCCAGAUAGGAUGUUGAAAUCAAAACCAAACAGGAUGGAAAUCUUGGUUCAUAGUUUUAUACUCCAGACAGCAAACAAACAGCCUUAGAUUGGCUUAGAAAAUCUGCAGUUUGGAAAUGUCUGACUUUUGGGACCUGACUGCAGGCAUGAGGACACAUGUGAUUUUGGAAUCAAGAGUUUAGUCUCUUUUUUGUUAGAUAGUAUUGACUUUCAUAAAAAGUAAAUACUUCUGUAAAAUAAAAGAUUAAAAAAAUA